ACCGGGCGCACGGGUGCGUAACGCGUAUAGAAUCUGCCUUACACAGGGGGAUAGCCCAGAGAAAUUUGGAUUAAUACCCCAUAGUAUAUAAAAACCGCAUGGUUUUUAUAUUAAAGAUUUAUCGGUUAAAGAUGGCUAUGCGUCCCAUUAGCUAGUUGGUAUGGUAACGGCAUACCAAGGCGAUGAUGGGUAGGGGUCCUGAGAGGGAGAUCCCCCACACUGGUACUGAGACACGGACCAGACUCCUACGGGAGGCAGCAGUGAGGAAUAUUGGACAAUGGAGGCAACUCUGAUCCAGCCAUGCCGCGUGCAGGAAGACGGCCUUAUGGGUUGUAAACUGCUUUUGUACAGGAAGAAAAAGUCUUACGUGUAAGACAUUGACGGUACUGUAAGAAUAAGCAUCGGCUAACUCCGUGCCAGCAGCCGCGGUAAUACGGAGGAUGCGAGCGUUAUCCGGAAUCAUUGGGUUUAAAGGGUCCGUAGGCGGUUUAUUAAGUCAGUGGUGAAAGUUUGUGGCUCAACCAUAAAAUUGCCAUUGAUGCUGAUAAACUUGAAUGAGUGUGAAGUAACUAGAAUAUGUAGUGUAGCGGUGAAAUGCAUAGAUAUUACAUAGAAUACCGAUUGCGAAGGCAGGUUACUAACACUUGAUUGACGCUGAUGGACGAAAGCGUGGGGAGCGAACAGGAUUAGAUACCCUGGUAGUCCACGCCGUAAACGAUGGAUACUAGCUGUUUGGAAUUAUAUAUGAGUGGCUAAGCGAAAGUGAUAAGUAUCCCACCUGGGGAGUACGUUGGCAACAAUGAAACUCAAAGGAAUUGACGGGGGCCCGCACAAGCGGUGGAUUAUGUGGUUUAAUUCGAUGAUACGCGAGGAACCUUACCAAGACUUAAAUGUAUGCUGACAGGUUUAGAGAUAGACUUUUCUUCGGACAGUAUACAAGGUGCUGCAUGGUUGUCGUCAGCUCGUGCCGUGAGGUGUUAGGUUAAGUCCUGCAACGAGCGCAACCCCUAUCAUUAGUUGCUAACAUUGAGUUGAGGACUCUAAUGAGACUGCCUACGCAAGUAGAGAGGAAGGUGGGGAUGACGUCAAAUCAUCACGGCCCUUACGUCUUGGGCUACACACGUAAUACAAUGGUAGGUACAGAGGGCAGCUACACAGUGAUGUGAUGCAAAUCUCGAAAGCCUAUCUCAGUUCGGAUUGGAGUCUGCAACUCGACUCUAUGAAGCUGGAAUCGCUAGUAAUCGCGCAUCAGCCAUGGCGCGGUGAAUACGUUCCCGGGCCUUGUACACACCGCCCGUCAAGCCAUGGAAGCUGGGGGUACCUGAAGUCGGUGACCGCAAGGAGCUGCCUAGGGUAAAACUAGUAACUGGGGCUAAGUCGUAACAAGGUAGCC
rnacentral:rRNA from 1 species